rnacentral:lncRNA from 1 species
CUGUUUUUUCCCUAACAAAUUCCCAAAAGUCCUGAGGCUGUCAAGGAAGCCCAGUUACUUGACAUGGGGGCCAAAUCCAUGGGGCAGUAGGGCUACAGCUAUUAGAAGGUGAACUGUCAACAGUUCCUUGCCCCAACUCAGGUGUUACUGUGGGCAGCUCACCACUUAAUUUGCUGUUGCUGUCACUGUCAGGUAACAGAGGAUAUGACCCUGCAGAUUGUUCAUGCAGCUCAGAGGGGAGUGAGGGGGCAGAUGGCUGGACUAGAGCAGAGGGAAGCAGGGGGGCAGACGGCUGGGUUUCUCUCUCUGCUAAAGGCAUUUCAGCUACCUGGUGCAGCGGUGUAGUGUAUUCAGGCACCAUCGGGAGCUGCUGUGCAGUUUGCCCAGAAGCCUUGGCAGCUCUCCCAGAAGCUUUGGCAGCUUUCCCACAGGCUUUGGUAGCCUGCCUGGUAACUUGCAUGGCAAUUGCACCUUCUUCAAGGAUAGAUUCCCCUCUGCCUCAUCUCCCUCAUCAGUUUCUGUUAUCAACCCCGAUUCUUCGUCCACAUGCUGCUUUGCUUGUUCUUCGUCUUUCUUCCAUUUUCUUAAUCCCUCAAAAAGUGAUCCCCAGGUAACAGCUAGAUCAACAACAGUUUAAUCUUCCGCUCAGAUGACUUCCCACAGUCUGUCCCUGACUUUUUUCCAUGCUCUGACACUAAAUGCUAUGUCAGGAUCAGUGCCAAAAUCCUGUGAUUUCGCCCACAGCAAUUUACUAUGAAGGGCAUAGUCUGAACUAUUAAUUCCCUUAUUUCUUAACAAAACUUUCCAUGUAGCCAAAACAGUCUCUUCUUCAUUAGAUAAAUUAUUUCCCAUUAUUACUUGUUGGUAUCUCACCUACUUCCAGGUGUCUUGAUAGGAGAAAAUCAGGUCUGGGCUUCCCUGUGGUUUCCACCCGCCAUUCUCAGCUGUACCAACGCAGCCUCCCCCACUACAUCCCAGUGAGUCACGUUUGCCAGUUGCUAAGACCCCGUAUGGGUCCAGACCAAGGAUGUUCUUAGGGGCGUUGAAUGACGUCGGGGUCACCACAUGACACUGUCAAGGCAGUCAUGACACAAGGCAGAGACUACAAGCAGUCUCAGAUGGCAGCUCUUUAUUAUCGAACAUGGCUGACCUUUUAUACACUUUUGAAUUGUUGAUACUUCUUCUACCCUAACUAUUGGCCACAAUAAAUCAACAUAACGUCAUUGGUGAAAAGUUACA